rnacentral:lncRNA from 1 species
CUCAUUUACACUCACACUCUCUCUCUCUCUCUCUCUCUCUCUCUCUCUCUCUCAUCAGGUAGAGGUGUCUCUGGCGGGAGGCAGCGGGCCUGGUCUAGCGUGACUGACAGGAGGGGCUCCAGACACUGGAAGUGCAUGAGAAACAACGAGUCCACAGGAAAGCCUUAAGGCUUUGUAGAGGAACCACCACUGUCAAGAGGAAUAGAGCUGUGCUCCAGCUGGACCAGGAAUACAACCUGAGAGACAGAGAGAACAGAGCCGACCGGUUCUCCAACACUGUAGACUCCUCCACUGUCAGAAACAAAUCGGUGCAUCAUGGUCCUCCACAUUCCCUGGCAACUGCAGGUAAACAUUUUGUUAGGUAAUGGUUAUGGUUCCCAGUCUGUGUGGUUUUUAGUGUGUGCAGAAUUUACUCAAUAGGCUAAAUACUAAUAAUUCAAGCAAUUCAUGUUUAAUUUGCAAAGUGAAAUACAGAACAUUCUGUUCAUCAGAUGUGAAAUACAGUUUUUUUUUUCAGCAACUCUAACACAGA